GGGCGGUUAGCUCAGCCGGUAGAGCGCCACGUUUACACCGUGGAAGUCGGCGGCGCUGGCCUGUCACGCCAGAGGCCGCGGGUUCGAGUCCCGUCACUCCCGCCA
rnacentral:tRNA from 1 species